GGCGUCGAGCGGCGGACGGGUGAGUAAUGCAUAGGAAUCUGCCCGGUAGUGGGGGAUAACCUGGGGAAACCCAGGCUAAUACCGCAUACGCCCUACGGGGGAAAGCAGGGGAUUUUCGGACCUUGCGCUAUCGGAUGAGCCUAUGUCGGAUUAGCUAGUUGGUGAGGUAACGGCUCACCAAGGCUGCGAUCCGUAGCUGGUCUGAGAGGAUGAUCAGCCACAUCGGGACUGAGACACGGCCCGAACUCCUACGGGAGGCAGCAGUGGGGAAUAUUGGACAAUGGGCGAAAGCCUGAUCCAGCCAUGCCGCGUGUGUGAAGAAGGCCUUCGGGUUGUAAAGCACUUUCAGUGAGGAAGAAAGCCUUGAGGUUAAUACCCUCGAGGGAGGACAUCACUCACAGAAGAAGCACCGGCUAACUCCGUGCCAGCAGCCGCGGUAAUACGGAGGGUGCGAGCGUUAAUCGGAAUUACUGGGCGUAAAGCGCGCGUAGGCGGCUUGAUAAGCCGGUUGUGAAAGCCCCGGGCUCAACCUGGGAACGGCAUCCGGAACUGUCAGGCUAGAGUGCAGGAGAGGAAGGUAGAAUUCCCGGUGUAGCGGUGAAAUGCGUAGAGAUCGGGAGGAAUACCAGUGGCGAAGGCGGCCUUCUGGACUGACACUGACGCUGAGGUGCGAAAGCGUGGGUAGCAAACAGGAUUAGAUACCCUGGUAGUCCACGCCGUAAACGAUGUCGACUAGCCGUUGGGCUCCUUGAGAGCUUUGUGGCGCAGUUAACGCGAUAAGUCGACCGC
rnacentral:rRNA from 1 species